CCAGACAGUACUAGACAGACCAUACAGUACCAGACAGACCAGACAGUACCAGACAGUACCAGACAGACCAGACAGUACCAGACAGUACUAGGCAGACCAGACAGUACCAGACAGUACUAGGCAGACCAGACAGACCAGACAGUACUAGGCAGUACCAGACAGUACCAGACAGACUAGACAGACCAGACAGACCAGACAGACCAGACAGUACCAGACAUACCAGACAGUACCAGGCAGACCAGACAGUACUAGACAGUACCAGACAGUACUAGACAGACCAGACAGAACAGACAGUACUAGACAGUACCAGACAGUACUAGGUAGACCAGACAGUACCAGACAGUACUAGACAGACCAGACAGACCAGACAGAACAGACAGUACCAGACAGUACCAGACAGUACUAGACAGUACCAGACAGACCAGACAUACCAGACAGACCAGACAGUACCAGACAGUACUAGACAGAACAGACAGUACCAGACAGACCAGACAGUACCAGACAGUACCAGAAAGACCAGACAUACCAGACAGUACCAGACAGAACAGACAGUACCAGACAGUACCAGACAGUACCAGAAAGACCAGACAGUACCAGACAGUACCAGACAGACCAGACAGUACUAGACAGACCAGACAGUACCAGAAAGACCAGACAGUACCAGACAGUACCAGACAGACCAGACAUACACACUGACUCCAGCAUCAUCCCCAGACUAUCUGGUAUGGUAUUAUAGCUAAUCUCCUUUUGCCAAGAGGCUCAGAGAAAAUACUACUGUUUAAGAGCUCAGGGAUUGCUGGGGGAAAAAAAAUGUGACAAUCUCUUUUUCCCCACACAAAUAUGUCUUAAUAUUAAUCACAC
ensembl:lncRNA